rnacentral:rRNA from 1 species
UACGUAGGGGGCAAGCGUUGUCCGGAUUUAUUGGGCGUAAAGAGCGUGUAGGCGGCUAGGUAGGUCCGUUGUGAAAACUCGAGGCUCAACCUCGAGCUGUCGAUGGAAACCAUCUAGCUAGAGUCCGGAAGAGGAGAGUGGAAUUCCUGGUGUAGCGGUGAAAUGCGCAGAUAUCAGGAAGAACACCCGUGGCGAAGGCGGCUCUCUGGUACGUGACUGACGCUGAGGCACGAAGGCCAGGGGAGCAAACGGG